rnacentral:rRNA from 1 species
GACGAACGCUGGCGGCGUGCCUAAUACAUGCAAGUCGAGCGGACCUUUUAAAAGCUUGCUUUUGAAAGGUCAGCGGCGGACGGGUGAGUAACACGUGGGCAACCUGCCUGUAAGACUGGGAUAACUUCGGGAAACCGGAGCUAAUACCGGAUAAUAUAAGGAACCUCCUGGUUCUUUAUUGAAAGAUGGUUUCGGCUAUCACUUACAGAUGGGCCCGCGGCGCAUUAGCUAGUUGGUGAGGUAACGGCUCACCAAGGCGACGAUGCGUAGCCGACCUGAGAGGGUGAUCGGCCACACUGGGACUGAGACACGGCCCAGACUCCUACGGGAGGCAGCAGUAGGGAAUCUUCCACAAUGGACGAAAGUCUGAUGGAGCAACGCCGCGUGAGCGAUGAAGGCCUUCGGGUCGUAAAGCUCUGUUGUUAGGGAAGAACAAGUGCGAGAGUAACUGCUCGCACCUUGACGGUACCUAACCAGAAAGCCACGGCUAACUACGUGCAGCCGCCGCGGUAAUAC